rnacentral:rRNA from 1 species
UACGUAGGGAGCAAGCGUUGUCCGGAAUCAUUGGGCGUAAAGCGCGCGUAGGCGGCCUCAUAAGUCCGUUGUGAAAGUCAAAGGCUACAACCUUUGAAAGCCGAUGGAUACUGUGGAGGCUAGAGUACGGAAGAGGCGAGUGGAAUUCCUGGUGUAGCGGUGGAAUGCGCAGAUAUCAGGAGGAACACCAAUAGCGAAGGCAGCUCGCUGGGACGUUACUGACGCUAAGGCGCGAAAGCGUGGGGAGCGAACGAGG